rnacentral:rRNA from 1 species
GACAGAGGGUGCAAACGUUGUUCGGAAUUACUGGGCGUAAAGCGCGUGUAGGCGGCUAAGUAAGUCGGGCGUGAAAUCCCACGGCUCAACCGUGGAAGUGCACUCGAAACUGCGCAGCUAGAGUCCUGGAGAGGAAGGUGGAAUGCUUGGUGUAGAGGUGAAAUUCGUAGAUAUCAAGCGGAACACCGGUGGCGAAGGCGGCCUUCUGGACAGUGACUGACGCUGAGAUGCGAAAGCGUGGGGAGCAAACAGG